rnacentral:rRNA from 1 species
AUCAGUGGCUCGAGGACGAACGCUGGCGGCGUGCUUAACACAUGCAAGUCGAACGAUGAUGGGACUGCUUCGGUGGUUUUUGAUUAGUGGCGAACGGGUGAGUAACACGUGAGUAACCUGCCCUUCACUCUGGGAUAAGCCUUGGAAACGGGGUCUAAUACUGGAUAUUACUUGAGCCCGCAUGGGUUCGGGUGGAAAGCUUUUGUGGUGGAGGAUGGGCUCGCGGCCUAUCAGCUUGUUGGUGAGGUGAUGGCUUACCAAGGCGACGACGGGUAGCCGGCCUGAGAGGGUGACCGGCCACACUGGGACUGAGACACGGCCCAGACUCCUACGGGAGGCAGCAGUGGGGAAUAUUGCACAAUGGACGGAAGUCUGAUGCAGCGACGCCGCGUGGGGGAUGAAGGCCUUCGGGUUGUAAACCUCUUUCGUCAGGGAAGAAGCCUUUUGGGGUGACGGUACCUGGAGAAGAAGCACCGGCUAACUACGUG